AACGCACCUUGCACUCUUUGGUAUUCCGAAGAGUAUGUCUGUUUGAGUGUCGUGAAAUUCUCAACCCCCCUAUUUUGUAAUGAGAUAGGUUAAGGGGCUUGGAUAAUGGCUGCUUGCUGGUGCCUCACGGUAUCGGCUCAGCUGAAAUACACGAGCAACCUUGAUUUAAAUUUGAAAGUUGGAAUACUCGGCGUAAUAAUACUUUUUCGUUGAGAACCUCUUUUUACAAAGUUUAAAAUAAAAGGUGCUUCUAAUGUAAAAACAUUUAAGCUUUUGACCUCAAAUCAGAUAGGACUACCCGCUGAACUUAA
rnacentral:misc_RNA from 1 species